AUUUGUCUGGUUAAUUCCGAUAACGAACGAGACCUUAACCUGCUAACUAGUUCAUAAUACUCUGUAUUUUGCAACUUCUUAGAGGGACUAUGUAAAUCAAUUACAUGGAAGUUUGAGGCAAUAACAGGUCAGUGAUGCCCUUAUAUGUCCUGGGCUGCACGCGUGCUACACUGAUGCAUACAACAAGUGCCUAGCCAGACAUGGUAUGGCAAUCUCGAAUAUGCAUCGUGAUGGGGAUAGAUCUUUGCAAUUAUAGAUCUUGAACGAGGAAUUCCUAGUAAGUGCAAGUCAUCAUCUUGCAUUGACUAUGUCCCUGCCCUUUGUACACACCGCCCGUCGCUCCUACCGAUACCGGGUGAUCCGGUGAACCCUUUGGACUCUGUAAAGGGGAAGAUAAGUAAACCAUAUCACCUAGAGGAAGGAGAAGUCGUAACAAGGUUUCCGUAGGUGAACCUGCRGAAGGAUCA
rnacentral:rRNA from 1 species